rnacentral:rRNA from 1 species
GAAGCGAAACUCAAAAAGCAGUCUCAGUUCGGAUUGAAGGCUGAAACUCGCCUUCAUGAAGUCGGAAUUGCUAGUAAUGGCAGGUCAGCAUACUGCCGUGAAUACGUUCCCGGGCCUUGUACACACCGCCCGUCACACCAUGAGGGUUAGGAAUACCCGAAGCCUGUGAGCCAGCGCAAGAGGCAGCAGUCGAAGGUAGAACUAAUGAUUGGGGUGAAGUCGUAACAAGGUAGC